GGAAGGAAGGGAGGGAGGGAGGAAGGAAGGAAAUACCAAGUGCUAGAGGGGGAGGAACUAGGACUCUCAUAUACAGCGGAUGGGAGGGUAAAUUGGCAAAACCCCUUUGGAAUGCUAUUUGUCUGUAUCUACUUAGGCUGAUGCCUUUGGGGUAUGAGUCCACUCCCACAUAUAUACAACAGAAAUGCACACAGAACUUCACCAAAGUGCAUAUUCUUGGACAUUCAUAACAGUAAUAUUUAUAUUGGCAUCAAACAGGAAAUUACCCAAAUGUUCAAUAAUGCAAUAGAAAAAUGAUGGUAUCUUCCCAAAAUGGAAUAUUAUCCAAAGUGAUUUAAAAGCAACACAGCUAGGUAGCACAAUGUGAAGGAAUUUGAUAAACCUUACAUUGAGUGAAAGAGGCUCAGCUACAGAAAUUGUCAUAGUGUAUGCUUUCAUUUUUUUAUCAUUUGGAUGGUGUUAUGGGUUGAAUGUUAUUCCCCCAAAAAAAGACAUGUUGAAGUUCUAGCCCUCAGUACCUGAGAAAGUGAACUUCAUUGGAAAUAGGGGCGUUGCAGAUAUAACUACUUACAGUGAAGUCAUACUGAAGUAGGGUAGAACCUUAAUCCAAUAUGACUAGUGUUCUAAUAAGAAAAGAGCCACAGAGGUACAGACACACGGGGAGAAUGGCAUAAAAUGAUCAUAAAAGCAAAGAUUGAAGAGCUGAAGCUCAAAGCUAAGGAACACCAAGAAUUUCUGGAAAACCACCAGAAGCUAGAAAGAGGCAGUAAAUGAUUCUCUCCUAAAGGGUUCAGUAGAAUCAUAUCCUUGACUUUGGGACUUCUAACCUCUAGAACUAUAAUAAAUUUCUAUUAUCUUAAGCUACCCAAUUUGUGGUGAUUUAAACACCCACCUUGUUUGCUAUAGCUGGUCUAGAAAACUAACACAGAGAGAAAAAAAAUCUGUGCUUCUAAAAGUAAGGAUAUAGUUACCCUUGGUAGUAUGAAUGGUAUCAAGAAAGAGGCAUGGGGUGUUUGUGAACAUUUAUUUAUGUAUGUUAUAUUUAAUGGAAAGUUAACACACGGAUGUUUAGGGACUUCUGGAUUAUGGUUGGGACAGAUUCUCUUAGAAGGAGACCUGUACAUACAGAGACACCUGUCAAGUGCACUAACAAAUAAUAUUGAUAACCUACUAUGUGCCAAACAACACAGUGAUCAGCCAACUUCACCUUUGAUCUCUAACCUGGAGUUCCUUUGUUUUCAUUUAAGAGUAGCUCAUGAGGGCUGUGGUUGUGGCUCAAUGGUAGAGCACUUGCUUAGCAUGUGUGAGGCACAGGGUUCCAUCCUCAGCACCACAUAAAAAUAAAUAAAAUGAAGGUAUUGUGUCUGUCUACAACUACAAAAAUUUUUUAAAGAGUAGCUCAUGAUUUCUGCACAUAUCUGCCUUCCUAGUAACCAACUGUCAGUGAAAUAUUCUCUAACCAGUGGGGCUGAAUGGAGAUGUGAUUGUGUAGGCUCUGGGCACAGCCUGCUUGGACUCAGCCUGUGGCUUAACCACUUUAGAGUUGUGUGACCUUAAGUCAACUACUUAGCUCCUUUGCAGCCUAGUUUCCUCAUCUAAAAAUGGGCAUAGUAAUGGUACCUAUACUUCAUAGAAUCUUUUCAGACUAAAUCAGUUAUUCCAUGAAAAGUACUCCACUCACUAAAUGCUGCCUGUUAUGAUAUUUUAACCAUCUCACUGUUACAUUAACAUCUAAUGACAGAUCUCCCCACUGUUUCCAAUGUCCAGCUUCCCUCUACAUGCAAAAAUAUGGGGGAAUUACUUCCCUGUUACUUAUUUAUUUUUACGGAGAAAUAAUUUACGUAUAACAAGAUGCACAGUUAUUGUUAUGGGAUGGAUUCCUCCCCCACCCCCAACAACAACAAAUUUCUAUGUUAGCCCAGUACCUUAGAAUGUAACUGUACUUGAAGAUAGAGCCUUUAAAGAAGUAAUGAAGUUAAAAAGAGAACAUUACCUUGGGUGCACUCCAAUAUGACAGGUGUCCUUAUAAAAAGAGAUUAGGACACAGAAAGGGAUGACAAUAUGAGGGCACAGUGAGAUGAUGGCCAUCUGCAAGCCAAGGAUAGAGGCCUCAGUGGAAUUCAACUCUGUCAAGACCUUGAUCUUGGACUUCUAGCUCCCAUACCCGUGAGAAAGGUUUUACAUGAUCCUUUAUAGUCUAGUCAAUGCCCUCCAAGCUCCAUAAGCAACCAUUUUCUGACUUCUAUCACCAUAGAAUAGUUUUUCUGGUCCAGAACUUCAUAAAAGUGAAAUUGUGUAGUACAUAUUUUUGUAUCUGACUUUUUUUGCUCAAUGAAACAUUUUUUGGUGUGCAUCCAUAUUGUUACAUGAAUUGUCAAUUUAUUCUUUUAAAUUGUUG
rnacentral:lncRNA from 1 species